UGGCUCAGAUUGAACGCUGGCGGCAGGCCUAACACAUGCAAGUCGAGCGGCAGCGGGAGGAAGCUUGCUUCCUCGCCGGCGAGCGGCGGACGGGUGAGUAAUGUCUGGGGAUCUGCCCGAUGGAGGGGGAUAACCACUGGAAACGGUGGCUAAUACCGCAUAACGUCGCAAGACCAAAGUGGGGGACCUUCGGGCCUCACACCAUCGGAUGAACCCAGAUGGGAUUAGCUAGUAGGUGGGGUAAUGGCUCACCUAGGCGACGAUCCCUAGCUGGUCUGAGAGGAUGACCAGCCACACUGGAACUGAGACACGGUCCAGACUCCUACGGGAGGCAGCAGUGGGGAAUAUUGCACAAUGGGCGCAAGCCUGAUGCAGCCAUGCCGCGUGUGUGAAGAAGGCCUUCGGGUUGUAAAGCACUUUCAGCGAGGAGGAAGGUGGUGAACUUAAUACGNUCAUCAAUUGACGUUACUCGCAGAAGAAGCACCGGCUAACUCCGUGCCAGCAGCCGCGGUAAUACGGAGGGUGCAAGCGUUAAUCGGAAUUACUGGGCGUAAAGCGCACGCAGGCGGUUUGUUAAGUCAGAUGUGAAAUCCCCGAGCUUAACUUGGGAACUGCAUUUGAAACUGGCAAGCUAGAGUCUCGUAGAGGGGGGUAGAAUUCCAGGUGUAGCGGUGAAAUGCGUAGAGAUCUGGAGGAAUACCGGUGGCGAAGGCGGCCCCCUGGACGAAGACUGACGCUCAGGUGCGAAAGCGUGGGGAGCAAACAGGAUUAGAUACCCUGGUAGUCCACGCUGUAAACGAUGUCGAUUUGGAGGUUGUGCCCUUGAGGCGUGGCUUCCGGAGCUAACGCGUUAAAUCGACCGCCUGGGGAGUACGGCCGCAAGGUUAAAACUCAAAUGAAUUGACGGGGGCCCGCACAAGCGGUGGAGCAUGUGGUUUAAUUCGAUGCAACGCGAAGAACCUUACCUACUCUUGACAUCCAGAGAACUUUCCAGAGAUGGAUUGGUGCCUUCGGGAACUCUGAGACAGGUGCUGCAUGGCUGUCGUCAGCUCGUGUUGUGAAAUGUUGGGUUAAGUCCCGCAACGAGCGCAACCCUUAUCCUUUGUUGCCAGCGGUUCGGCCGGGAACUCAAAGGAGACUGCCAGUGAUAAACUGGAGGAAGGUGGGGAUGACGUCAAGUCAUCAUGGCCCUUACGAGUAGGGCUACACACGUGCUACAAUGGCGUAUACAAAGAGAAGCGAACCUGCGAAGGCAAGCGGACCUCAUAAAGUACGUCGUAGUCCGGAUUGGAGUCUGCAACUCGACUCCAUGAAGUCGGAAUCGCUAGUAAUCGUAGAUCAGAAUGCUACGGUGAAUACGUUCCCGGGCCUUGUACACACCGCCCGUCACACCAUGGGAGUGGGUUGCAAAAGAAGUAGGUAGCUUAACCUUCGGGAGGGCGCUUACCACUUUGUGAUUCAUGACUGGGGUGAAGUCGUAACAAGGUAACCGUAGGGGAACCUGCGGCU
rnacentral:rRNA from 1 species